GUUAGGAAUAUUGGACAAUGGGCGAAAGCCUGAUCCAGCCAUGCCGCGUGAACGAUGAAGGCCUUCGGGUUGUAAAGUUCUUUAGCCGAUGAUUAUAAUGACUGUAGUCGGAAAAUAAGCCCCGGCUAACUUCGUGCCAGCAGCCGCGGUAAUACGAAGGGGGCGAGCGUUAUUCGGAAUCACUGGGCGUAAAGCUUGCGUAGGCGGUUUUGUAAGUUAGGAGUGAAAGCCCAGGGCUCAACCUUGGAAUUGCUCUUAAAACUGCAAGGCUCGAAUCUCGGAGAGGAUAGCAGAAUUUCCAGUGUAGCAGUGAAAUGCGUAGAUAUUGGAAGGAACACCAGUGGCGUAAGCGGCUAUCUGGACGAGUAUUGACGCUGAGGCACGAAAGCGUGGGGAUCAAACAGGAUUAGAUACCCGUGUAGUCC
rnacentral:rRNA from 1 species